rnacentral:rRNA from 1 species
GCGUCUGAUUAGCUAGUUGGUGUGGUAAGAGCCUUCCCNGGCGACCAUCAGUAGCUGGUCUGAGAGGAUGANCAGCCACACUGGGACUGAGACACGGCCCAGACUCCUACGGGAGGCAGCAGUGGGGAAUUUUCCUCAAUGGGCGAAAGCCUGACAGAGCAAUACCGCGUGAGGGAGGAAGGCUCUUGUGUUGUAAACCUCUUUUCUCUCGGAAGAANACANUGACGGUCCNUGAGGAAUAAGCCUCGGCUAACUCCGUGCCAGCAGCCGCGGUAAUACNGAGGANGCAAGCGUUAUCCGGAAUUAUUGGGCGUAAA